ensembl:lncRNA
CACAAUUGGGACUGGCUAUACUGCUGUGCUGAAAAGAAGUCUCAGGCCUCAGAGAAAAAGAAUACCGUGGAGAUGUCUGCCAGAGGAAGACAGAAUCACAACAGGAACCAGCCAUUCGAGUGAAGUUGGAGCAGAACCUGAGCUGCGAGGUCUGGCGCUGACCAGUGAGAGCUGAGGGGCCACUCGAUCCCAUCAGCAGCAGGAUGCAUUUCCUCACUGCUAUGUUUCCUUGUAGACAUCUCCCAAGAGUCUUUCCUUGAUCUGCCUUCCGCAUGCUUCUUACUUGGUGAGUUUCAUUUUGUUUUUACUUUUCCACAAUGUGUAUUGUACUUUGUCACAUUAUAUCUUUAUUGGGUUUAUUCUAUCUUUUCCAUUAUUUUGAAAAAAAUGUCCAAAGCAAUGACUAGUAUACUGCAGACUCUUUUUUGUAAACAUGUAUUGAACAAAUAGGUGGUCAUGAGCCAGAGGUUAUGUUAUUAUCUCAAGUACUCUUGAAACAAUCCUUCUAGGCAUGAGUAACAUUAUUUCAAAUUCCACACAUGGGAAAACAGAUUUAAAUAUGUCAAAUAAAUUUAACAGAUGCAUGUAGGUACUAAAUAUU